GGGGGGGGGGGGGGGGGGGGGGGGGGGAGGCGGGGGGGAGGGGGGGGGGCUGCGUUGGGGGGGUGCUCGAGGGGCGGAAGGGGGAGUAACACGUGAGUAGGCUGCCCUUGACUUUGGGGUAACUUCAGUAAACUGGGGCUACUAGCGUAUAGGAGCUACGGCUGCAUGGUGGGGGUUGGAAAGGUUCGGCGGGUGGGGAUGGACUGGCGGCUUAUCAGCUUGCUGGAGGGGUAGUGGCGAACAAGGCUUUGACGGGUAGGCAGCCUGAGAGGGUGACCGGCAACAUUGGGACUGAGAUACGGCCCAGACUCCUACGGGAGGCAGCAGUGGGGAAUAUUGCACAAUGGGCGGAAGCCUGAUGCAGGAACGCCGCGUGCGGGAUGACGGCCUUCGGGUUGUAAACCGCUUUCGCCUGUGACGAAGCGUGAGUGACGGUAAUGGGUAAAGAAGCACCGGCUAAAUACGUG
rnacentral:rRNA from 1 species